ensembl:lncRNA
GCUGGCUAUAAAUAACUCAUUACGCUAAUUAUGGUAUGUGAGCACACAGCUAGCCUGCGAGCACAAACACAGUCAAGCGUGAGCACCGUGGGUUCAAACAUGGUGUCCGUAUGGCAAGUUAUAAACCUCCGUCGGCAGCCGCUGCUCCUCUCGCACUGAGAUGGAGGAGGAGUUGCAUGGAAACUUUUUUUGUCUUCCUUAUGAUCCCAUACGAGUGAAUCCUGGUCGAUUGUGUUUUCUAAAGAUAAACCACUCAGAUCCCCCUAUGCUUGACAAGGACAGUGAGUGUGAUUACCUGUGACGUUGGCCUAUGAGAACUCUGUAGCUCUGACAGGCAUCUCCUGCUGUGACUUUGACAUAUCUCAAUACAACUCUUAUUUUGAUGGAGCCUGUCUCUCAGACAGCUAGCAGUGACAAGACAAUUUUGAUGAGGGUAAAAUAGAACAGGCGCUUAAGAGACCCGGAGAGAGGUCUCGUUCCUCUGGGCAAAGCAUUAAUGAUCCUACUGUCUCUGUCUAUGUCAAUAGUUCUCCAGUGUCCAUCUGUUUCAGUCACAUACAGACUUCCCGCUAAUGACAGGAAGUGUUGAUACUGCACAGGAACGAACCAGUCACUGUGGUAUUAAGGGCGUCAUUUGAGAAAAGACUCCCAACUUCGGAUGCUAUUUUCCACUGAAAACUUGAGGAAAGACGCAGGACUAAAACACGCUGGGACCAACAACCAUGGCGAUAGGCGGAUAAGGCUGGAUCAAGCUUGGAGCGUCAAACAGGUUAUGCCCUGUUUUGUGAUUAACCCUGGCAGCCAUACACUACAGCUGGAAGCGCAACACAACAUCCAGCACCGUGAAGCUCCAAGGCUGUAGACAUGACAAGGACAGAGCAGGUAAUCAAUUAUGCCCUCUAUGGUAUCCUUUCUGUCAGACUGAAGGGAACACAAAUUAUGAAAUGGCUAUUGAGAGCAGAAUCUUUCGCCAGCUACAGUUUGGACAGGUUUGCAGCCAGACCUUGAAAUCAAUCAUCAUGGUCGAGCGAGGAAGGGAAGUUAAUUCUAGUUGAGGCACAAGUGGUAAAGCCUGCUGAAGGAUUCACAGUGAGCUGCAAAUUGUUCACCGAGGUUUGUCAGAACCUUGGAUUCUACUACUGUAAGGACAUUUUUUAGAGUCAGUCUCAAAAGCUCAGCAGCAUUCCUGUCUGACAAAGCUCUAUUUGCCUUUCAGUGUGGUUGUUGGUUGAAUUAAGUGAAAAGAAAAAAAAUUAAAAACAAACAACAACUGCAAAUAGCUUUUUUAUUCAGAUAGACAUCUGGUCGCAGAGGCUUUAUUACCAAUCUGCAAGGUCCCUCCAGAUUUAUCUUUCUGUUCUCUCCCUGCUGUGCCUUCAUUCUCCCUCUUUUCCCAUUCUCUCUUUCUGCCUGCCAUCCUAUAUCAGACCCACUGCUUCUGCAGUGCCCUCAAGCACAGUCACAAAUUGACAUGCUGAAUUCUCAGCUGGGACAUUAAACCCUGGGGAUCAAGCAUACAGAGAAAGCUCAAGGGAGAUUGUUUAUGUUCAUCACAAGGUGUACUAGCUGGAUUUCCUUGUGAAAGGACCAAAGUCCCUCAUCUCUAAUCUGCAGCUAGGCUUUGAGUGAGAAAAAAAACUGCAAAUAAUCUUUUUAUAAGUUAAAACCAAUCACACAACAUUAAAACCACAGGCUGAACUGAUGCAAUGUCCUGCUAGGAAUUCUUGCAUUAAUGUUAAUAUUGGUUUGACACAUAAACAGUGCUGCAGGCCAAGCACACACCACCAUCCCAUGGUAACACUUCCUGAUGGCAGUUCAGCACACUGCAAAAACAGCUCAAACUCCUCAGAUCACAAUCAAACGGAGCAUCGGUGGAACAUGUUGGAACAGGCCAGCUAGGCCUAUACCACGACACACCACCCACAGGACCCAAAGCGCUCUGUUGCCAGCGUCCUUGUGCCAGUAAUCACAGGACACCUCCAGCGCUCCCAUGCCCAUGUCCUGCCAGGUCAGAGCUGUUUUGGCAGCAAGAAAGGUACCAAUGCAUUAUUUGCAAGGUGUGUUUUAAUGCUGUGGAUGAUCCAUGUACAUCCUUUUAAGGGUGAUGAUUUAUCUAAGUGGAGUAAUGGACAGAUGGAAUAGAAGAAAAUGUCUCCUCAAUUAUGAAAAAUUGUAUCACUUUGAUGCCUUCAUUUGUUAGUGGAUGAUGCUUGCAGGAACGUACUGGGAUUGCGCUGCUUCAGUAGAAUGAUUGCUCUUAUUCUUGCAAAUGAGGACAUAUGAUUAAAUUUAUAGUGCCACACACACACAUUAGCGUUUGUUCUACACACUUCCACAUGGAGUUGCGCAGGAGUAUGAGCACACUGGGUUCGAAAAGGUACCACAUUAAUACUAUAUGUGCAUUUUCUCGAACCCGCGCCUACGCACACACUUCUUGUCUUUUCAGGUCAGCUCAGUAGAGAGCACUCUGUGGUAAUGAG